UAAUCGGCCUUUUUCAAGGCCACUUAAACAAUCAGCCCUUUUCAAG
rfam:Lasius niger Lnig_2.1_5234, whole genome shotgun sequence.